UUCGGUCUCGAUCUGAGAGGAAAGUAUCGCAAGACACGCUUCACCUUUUAUCUAAAUUGAGCAUUAAUAGUAAUAAAUUGUGGGAAUACCACGCAGGAGGAAACAAACAUGCAACAAGGUACAGUAAAAUGGUUUAACGCAGAUAAAGGCUUUGGCUUCAUCGAAGUUGAAGGUGGAGAUGAUGUAUUCGUACAUUUCUCAGCUAUCCAAGGAGAAGGCUUCAAAACUUUAGACGAAGGUCAAUCAGUUUCUUUUGAAAUUGAAGAAGGUCAACGCGGACCUCAAGCGACUAACGUUACUAAAAACUAAUAAUUACUAUUUAAAAGGACUCUUUAAUUAGAGUCCUAUUUUA
rnacentral:misc_RNA from 1 species